CCAAGACAGAGGCCGAAGUGGAGGCCAGUAGGAGCAGGGCCCAUUAGUUGGUUCUCCAGGAGGAUCAACCAGCCUAUGUGAGGUGCCAUGUUUGUACUUGGCUUCUCCAAGCAUUCCCAGAUCAAGCUACAGGAGCAGCGAGGGAAAAGGUGGAGGCAGAGGUAGAGGCAGAAAUGGAGGCUGAGGCUGUGGUGGAAAUGAAGGCACAGGCAGAAGUUGAGGCAGAGGCUGAGGUGGAGAUGAAGGCAGAGGCUGAGGCUGAGGUAGAGCCAGAAGUGGAGGCCAGCAGGAGUGGGGCAACAUUGGUCAGUUCUUCAGGAGGGUUUCUCCACUGAAUGUGUCAUUCCUCAUGUUUGGAUUCUAGCGCCAUAGGAGGACCGUCCUUUUCUUGAGAAAUGACUCCCGCCAUCACGUUAUCAAAGUCUGAAGCUUGGGUCUCUCAGUGAGCUGCCUUUAACCAGAAACUGAAGGGACCUGGGUCUAGAACUUAUGAAAAAGUGCUCUCGUCACAUUGAACAUGAGCAGACUCAACACAAUGCCAACCCAGAUCAGAAUGUAUUUUUUUUAA